CCCUUAGAUGUUCUGGGCUGCACGCGCGCUACACUGGUGCGUUCAACGAGUUUAGCACCUUAACAGAUAUGUUUGGGUAAUCUUCUGAAAACGCACCGUGAUGGGGAUCGAUUAUUGUAAUUAUUAAUCGUCAACGAGGAAUUCCUAGUAAGUGUGAAUCAUCAGUUCGCGCUGAUUACGUCCCUGCCCUUUGUACACACCGCCCGUCGCUGCUACCGAUUGAGUGGUCCUGUGAAUUAUUCGGACCGGUGGACUGUGGGGAAACCCGCGGCCUGCUGGGAAGUCUUGUGAACCUUAUCACUUAGAGGAAGCAGAAGUCGUAACA
rnacentral:rRNA from 1 species